GAUGAACGCUGGCGGCGUGCCUAAUACAUGCAAGUCGAGCGAAUGGAUUAAGAGCUUGCUCUUAUGAAGUUAGCGGCGGACGGGUGAGUAACACGUGGGUAACCUGCCCAUAAGACUGGGAUAACUCCGGGAAACCGGGGCUAAUACCGGAUAAUAUUUUGAACUGCAUGGGUCAAAAUUGAAAGGCGGCUUCGGCUGUCAUUUAUGGAUGGACCCGCGUCGCAUUAGCUAGUUGGUGGGGUAACGGCUCACCAAGGCAACGAUGCGUAGCCGACCGGAGAGGGUGAUCGGCCACACUGGGACUGAGACACGGCCCAGACUCCUACGGGAGGCAGCAGUAGGGAAUCUUCCGCAAUGGACGAAAGUCUGACGGAGCAACGCCGCGUGAGUGAUGAAGGCUUUCGGGUCGUAAAACUCUGUUGUUAGGGAAGAACAAGUGCUAGUUGAAUAAGCUGGCACCUUGACGGUACCUAACCAGAAAGCCACGGCUAACUACGUGCCAGCCGCCGCAGUAA
rnacentral:rRNA from 1 species